AUUGAACGCUGGCGGCAUGCCUUACACAUGCAAGUCGAACGGCAGCACGGGUGCUUGCACCUGGUGGCGAGUGGCGAACGGGUGAGUAAUACAUCGGAACAUGUCCUGUAGUGGGGGAUAGCCCGGCGAAAGCCGGAUUAAUACCGCAUACGAUCUACGGAUGGAAGCGGGGGACCUUCGGGCCUCGCGCUAUAGGGUUGGCCGAUGGCUGAUUAGCUAGUUGGUGGGGUAAAGGCCUACCAAGGCGACGAUCAGUAGCUGGUCUGAGAGGACGACCAGCCACACUGGGACUGAGACACGGCCCAGACUCCUACGGGAGGCAGCAGUGGGGAAUUUUGGACAAUGGGCGAAAGCCUGAUCCAGCAAUGCCGCGUGUGUGAAGAAGGCCUUCGGGUUGUAAAGCACUUUUGUCCGGAAAGAAAUCCUUGGCCCUAAUACGGUCGGGGGAUGACGGUACCGGAAGAAUAAGCACCGGCUAACUACGUG
rnacentral:rRNA from 1 species